GUUCCUUUGGAGACAUCCGAUAAAAUUGGAACAAUACAAUGAAGAUUAGCAUGGCCCCCGCGCAAGGAUGACACACAAAAAUAAAAAAAAUAGACCAAAUUAUU